AUUGAACGCUGGCGGAAUGCUUUACACAUGCAAGUCGAACGGUAGAGGGGGCAACCCCUCGAGAGUGGCGAACGGGUGAGUAAUAUAUCGGAACGUGCCCAGUCGUGGGGGAUAACGUAGCGAAAGUUACGCUAAUACCGCAUACGAUCUAAGGAUGAAAGCGGGGGACUCGCAAGAGCCUCGCGCGAUUGGAGCGGCCGAUAUCAGAUUAGGUAGUUGGUGGGGUAAAGGCUCACCAAGCCAACGAUCUGUAGCUGGUCUGAGAGGACGACCAGCCACACUGGAACUGAGACACGUUCCAGACUCCUACGGGAGGCAGCAGUGGGGAAUUUUGGACAAUGGACGCAAGUCUGAUCCAGCCAUUCCGCGUGCAGGAUGAAGGCCCUCGGGUUGUAAACUGCUUUUGUACGGAACGAAAAGGUUUCUAUUAAUACUAGGAGCUCAUGACGGUACCGUAAGAAUAAGCACCGGCUAACUACGUGCCAGCAGCCGCCGUAAUAC
rnacentral:rRNA from 1 species